AUUAGAAGAUGACACUCAAAACAUUUAUAUGACUUAUUUAUUAUGCCUUUAACCUUAUGAACCUAUUAUUAUUAAGAACUAAAUAUCUAGAUCUACUUUUUUAUUUAGCGAAAAUCCUAUAUGGUUUAUAGAUCCAGAACUAAUCUAGAUCUGGUCUACAAUUCUCUGAUAAGGGAAAGAUCAUUAAAAGCUUACAACAUACCGAGGCAAACAGUUGACCAUCUUUAUAGGAUUACUUUGUUACAAGUUCAGAUUAGUGGAACCGUAAUGACAUGGCCGAGCUUCAGGCUACCAUAGAAAUCUCUGUGGAGCUCAAUAAAUUUUACAAUGUGGAUCUUUUCCAGAGAGGGUA
rnacentral:sRNA from 1 species